UUACUAUUUAGUAUUAUCUAUUACAUUUCAAUUUCUCUUUAAAAAUUAGCAUAUUAAAAUUGUGUAUAUUAUGAAACUAAAAUUUAUAAAGAAGAAAGCCUUAUAUACCAUUAAAUAUUUUAUAUAGCAUAAUAAAAAGAAUAGCUUAACUGGUAAGAAUAACAAAAAUAAUACACCCUCUGAAAAUAAGUAAAGUAUAAAUUGCAUAAAUUGGUUAAAAAAUAGUGUAAUUAUAUAAAUAUAUCUUCAAAAUUUGUUACAUCUUAUUGAUUCUUCAAUACAGGCAUUACACCAUUCUAGGUGAUGUGAUAAACAAGACAUUAUAGACCUUACAUCAUACCAUGGAGAGAAAUGGUUAUUAAUAAAACAAUUGCAGAACUGUAUCAUUUAAUUGUACAGUUGCAUUAUUUAAUUGUAAUUAUCAUAAAUUCUUUGAUGGAAAAGAAAUCAGAAUCAGAUCUAAGAAGACCUCAGCAUUCCAAGAAUGAUGUCAAAUGAUUGUUUUAUAGUUGUUGGUCUCUUAAUUGCAAGUACAUCUCCAGUGUCCUGCAUUUGUACCCACCUCUUCUCAUGAUUUUUGAUUUUGGUGGUAUAAUUGUGCAUGGAUGAUUUUGUAUCUUUACUGUAUAUAUACCUUUACCGGUGAGCCUUGUCAUUUGUGGCAUUUUUGUUCCCUGUUGCGGGCUUUUCUUUUCUGCCUAGAGAAGUUCCUUUAGUAGUUGUUGUCAGGCUGGUUUAGUGUUGCUGAAUUCUCUUAACUUUUGCUUAUCUGUAAAGGUUGUGAUUUCUCCUUCAAAUCUGAAUGAGAGCCUUGCUGGGUAGAAUAAUCUUGGUUGGAGGUUUUUUCCUUUCAUCACAUUAAGUAUAUCAUGCCACUCCCUUCUGGCCUGCAGAGUUUCUGCUGAAAAAUCUGCCCAUAAUCUUAUUGGGGUUCCCUUGUAUGUUAUUUCUUUUCCCUAGCUGCUUUCAAGAUUUUCUCUUUGUCUUUAAUUUUGGUUAGUUUGAUUAAUAUGUGUCUCGGUGUAUUCCUCCUUGGGUUUAUUUUAUAUGGUACUCGUUGUGUUUUUUGGAUUUGAGUGAGUGGUUCCAUUCCCAUGUUAGGGAAGUUUUCGGCUAUUAUCUCUUGGAAUCUUUUUUCUGUCCCCUUCUCUCUCUCUUCUCCUUCUGGCACCCCUAUAAUACGGAUGUUGGUGCGACUCUCUUCAUUUGUUUUCAGUCUUUUUUCUCUUUUCUGUUCUCUGUGACUCUCUUCAUUUGUUUUCAAUCUCUUUCUCUUUUCUGUUCUGCAUCCAUAAUUUCCACUAAUCUGUCCUCCACCUCACCUAUUCCUUCUUCUGCCUCCUGUAUUCUGCUGUUAGCUGCUUCUAGUGAAUGUUUUAUUUCAGUUAUUAUAUUUUGCAUCUCUUCUUGUUUAAGUUUUAUAUCUUGUAUCUCUUUGGUCAGUGUUUCCUGUAAGUUAUCCAUCUUUGCCUCCAGUUUAUUUCCAAUGUCUUGCAUUAUCUUCAGCAUCAACAAUCUAAAUCUUUUUCCUGGAUGCUGAUAAUCUCAUCGCUUAGCUGACUUUCUGGGGUUUUUUCUUUCUCCCUCAUCUGAGUUAUAGUUCUCUGUCUUUUCAUUUUGAUAGGUUUUUGGUGUGGUGACCUUUUUACAGAUACUAGAGUUGUAGCCUCUCUUACUUCUGAUGUCUGCCCCCCAUUGUGGCUGAAGUGAGUAUGGGGGCUUGCUGUAGGCUUCCUGAUGGGAGGGGCUUAUGCCUGCCCACUGGUUUGUGGAGCUGAUUCUAAUCCCUCUGGUGGGUGGGGCUUAGCCUCUGGAUGGGAUUAGAGGCAACUGUGUGCCUGAGGGGGUCUUUAGGUAGCCUGUUUACUGAGGGGCGGGGAUGUGAUCCCACCUGGAUUGUUGUUUGCCCUGGGGCUUCUCAGCAUUGACUGAUGAAUGGGGCCAGAUUUUCCCAAAAUGGUCACCUCCAGAGACAGGCACCCUGCUGAAUAUUCCCGAGAGCUUUGCUUUCAAUGUCCAUCCCUCACAACAAGCCACAUUCACCCCCGUUUUCCCAGGAUGUCUUCCAAGAACCCAGAUUCCUAUGGAGACCUUGCUCUGCCCUGGGAAACAGUGCACAUGAAAGUCCAUGUGCGCCUUUUAAGAAUGGUAUCUCUGUUUCCCUGAGCCCUGUGGAACUCCUGCACACAAGCCCCACUGGCCUUCAAUGCCAGAUGCUCCGGUGGCUCUUUCUCCCAGUGCCAGAUCCCCACACAUGAGGGUUUGAUGUGCGGCUCAGAACUCUCACUCCUGUAGGUGAGUCUCUGUGAACCAGUUCGUUUUCAGUCUGUGGAGCUUCCCACCCCAAUGGUGUGGGGUUGUUUAUAUCAUGAAAUCGCCCCUCCUACCUCUUGAUGUGCCCUCCUCUUUUUCUUCUGGAGUAGGGUAUCUUUUUUAAGGUUUCUAGUCCAUUUGGGUGGAGAUUGCUCAGCCUUUAGUUGUGAAUUUUGGUGUUUUUUUAGGAGAGAAUUUGAGCUCCAGUCCUUCUAUUCUGCCAUCUUAAUCCUCUCUGCAAUAAUAUUAUAUGUUUUAAGACUUUAUGGUUUUGAGACAUAUAAAUAUACAUAUAUACACACAAUACAAUAUAUAUGUGUAUAUAAAUGUAUAUUAUAUAUUAAUACAUAUACAUGCAUAUAUUGCAUGUAUACCUGUAUGCUUCUCUCUAUAUAUAAUGGUAUAUCUAUGUAUUAUAAAUGUAAUAUAUACAUAUACAAUUGAAUAUAUAUACAUAUGAUUGUAUAUAUGUAUAUAUUGAUAUACAUGCAUAUAUGUGUUUAUAGAUGUAUAUAUAUUAUAUGAUGGUAUAUAGAUGUAUAUAAUGGUAAAUAGAGUUGUGAAUAUAUGUGUGUGUGUGUGUAUGUGUGUCUGUGUCUAUUCAUAUAGAUGUAUAGAUACAGAUAACAUUUGUGCUCUAUAGUACUUCCAAGGCUCUUGCACAAGUGGUUUUCAACUGGGGGCAAUUUGGCCUCCCAGGGGACAGUUUGUCACAACUGAGGAUGAGUGGUUACUACUGGCGUCUAAUGGCUAGUAGCCAGGGAUGCUGCUAAACAUGCUAUUAUACACAGAGUUUUCUGGCCAAAAUGACAAUCACAUCAAGGUAGAAAAACCUUGUGUUAUAGGUUUCUUUGCAAAUAAUGCUACAAUAGAGUACCUUCCAGUGUGCCCUGUGUCUCCAACAUUAGAUCAAUAUGACUGCACAUUUGCUUUUAGGCUAUAUCCUGCAUACAGCUGAUAAUCACUUAUAUCAAUUAACAUAACUUUUUACAAGUAGUACUCAGGAAAGACAGUAGCUGAUGAUUUGGCAUUAGGCUCCACCAUCUUAUCAGGGAUAGAAAGCUGCAUAGAAUUCCUUCAUCUACCACUGAAGAGACCACCUUGGGGAAAAACAUUAAUCAUUAGGACGAUGCAAUAGUGCUGCUUUCUGCUUCAUGUAUUGUGCUCAUAAUUAUGACUCCUUUCUUUGACAAUAAGGUUAAAAAUAUUAAGCAAGCUCAAUUGAGAACAUAUUUGUUCCUUCUCCUAGUGAGCGAGGCUUUAACAAUUACUUGAUUGAAGAUCUGAGCUGUAGGUAGCUAUAAUUUUGCAGACUCGUUAUAUUAUUUCUGCCUUACUUAAGUGUUGACUCAUUUUGUACUGUCUGAGAGCUGAAAAGAAAUCAUUAGGGAAAGGCUAAAAAUAUCUUUGCAUUUCCCUUCUAUUGCUUCAAUUUUAUUUCUCUGAUGUCUGCUCAAAAUCAUAUUCAAUACAUAUAAGGAAUCUUGAAAUCUUUCAAAAGAAGGGAAACUCUUCCUCUUUUCCCCUAGUGCUCUCAGGGUGGUGUCAUUUGAUAAUAUAAACGAGUAGGUUUAAUACUCAAUCAUUUCCCAAAUCUAAUUUGACUGCUGAAUGAGGUUUAAUUUACAUGAUGAUAUAAUUUCUCACACCAGAAAGCAUAGCAAUGCUUACUUUUUUUUCUGAGGUUAAUGGUGAUCUAGCUUAAAGCCUAAAAUAUAAUUACAAAGAAUAUGCUUCAGGUGACAAAGGUAGUUUUGACAAUGACAGACUAUUGAUAGCUUUUUAAUUAUACUUCUUUCUACCAUAAGAGACUAUAUGCUUUCUGCCUCAUAGUUAAAAGGCCUGCUGUUAUGUUUUUAAAAUUAAUUUCCAUCAUAAUUUAAACUUUUAACCUACCGAUGAUACUCCAGGUGACUGAAACCUCACCCCACCAUUCUACAACCCUGAAAUUAUAUUCACUGAAAUUUGGGGCUAUUUUCUUGGUUCAUGAAAUAUAAAAGAGUACCUAUCAAGAAAUAUAUAAAUAUUAAUUGACUCUCUUUUCAUCUUUUUCACUUAAUAUUUUGUGACAUUGAACAAUUUUUUAAAUUCAAAUUUGUUUUGUUUUGUUUUUAGGUGAGAGUUCAUCACUAGAAAAAGGUAUAAUGUAAGAAGAGGUGAAUAAUCUAUGAUUUAGCAAAUUAGAAUUAAUGGGAAAACAAUAAAAAGUAGAAAAAAUGUAUUUUAUGCAGAAUCACUUAUUCUUCGGUAUGUACCUAGAUAUUUUGCUAAAUAUAUUUUAUAAAAUAAUAGAAAAUAUUUUAAAUGCCAAAAUAAUUAUUAUUGUCUUUAUCUUUAAGGCUAAAUUAAUCAAAAAUUAAUUUUUUUUCAAAUUAGGUAAGCCUGGUUAUUUAUUUUGAUAUGAAUUUAGUUCCAGUAUUUUUAUUGUAUGCUUGAUUUACAUUACUAUGUUGGUUUCAGGUGUACAACAUAGUGAUUCAGUAUUUUUAUAGAUUUACGCCAUUUAAGUUUUUAUGUAUUAACAGCUAUAUUUCCUUGUAUUGUACAAUGAAUCUUUGCUGUUUAUUUAUUUUAUACCUGGUAGUUUGUCCUAACAUUUUUAAGUUGAUAUUAUUCACACAAAAUCAAACAGCCACAUGAAAGCUGAAGAUUUUAGUCACAUAUCCAGAUGUUUGACUAUAUUAAAUCAGUUUUUACUUUGGGUUUU
rnacentral:lncRNA from 1 species